AGUGAACGCUGGCGGUAGGCCUAACACAUGCAAGUCGAACGGCAGCACAGUAAGAGCUUGCUCUUACGGGUGGCGAGUGGCGGACGGGUGAGGAAUACAUCGGAAUCUACUUUUUCGUGGGGGAUAACGUAGGGGAACUUACGCUAAUACCGCAUACGACCUACGGGUGAAAGCAGGGGAUCUUCGGACCUUGCGCGAUUGAAUGAGCCGAUGUCGGAUUAGCUAGUUGGCGGGGUAAAGGCCCACCAAGGCGACGAUCCGUAGCUGGUCUGAGGGGAUGAUCAGCCACACUGGAACUGAGACACGGUCCAGACUCCUACGGGAGGCAGCAGUGGGGAAUAUUGGACAAUGGGCGCAAGCCUGAUCCAGCCAUACCGCGUGGGUGAAGAAGGCCUUCGGGUUGUAAAGCCCUUUUGUUGGGAAAGAAAAGCAGCAGGUUAAUACCCCGCUGUUCUGACGGUACCCAAAGAAUAAGCACCGGCUAACUUCGUG
rnacentral:rRNA from 1 species